GCCGAAGUGGUGGAAUUGGCAGACGCGAUGGACUCAAAAUCCAUUGAGGUAACACUCGUGAGGGUUCGAGUCCCUCCUUCGGCA
rnacentral:tRNA from 1 species